rnacentral:rRNA from 1 species
GAUGAACGCAGGCGGCGUGCCUAACACAUGCAAGUCGAACGGAGAUUACAGACGGAAGUUUUCGGAUGGAAGACUGUAAUUCUUAGUGGCGGACGGGUGAGUAACGCGUGGGCAACCUGCCCUAUACAGGGGGAUAGCAGCUGGAAACGGCUGGUAAGACCGCAUAAGUCGGUUAAAUCGCAUGAUUUGACCGGGAAAUGAGCAAUCAGGUAUAGGAUGGGCCCGCGUCCGAUUAGCCAGUUGGCAGGGUAAAAGCCUACCAAAGCGACGAUCGGUAGCCGGACUGAGAGGUCGGACGGCCACAUUGGGACUGAGACACGGCCCAAACUCCUACGGGAGGCAGCAGUGGGGGAUAUUGCACAAUGGAGGAAACUCUGAUGCAGCGACGCCGCAUGAGUGAAGAAGUAUUUCGGUAUGUAAAGCUCUAUCAGCAGGGAAGA